AGCGAACGCUGGCGGCAGGCUUAACACAUGCAAGUCGAGCGCCCCGCAAGGGGAGCGGCCGACGGGAGAGUAACACGUGGGAACGUACCUUUCAGUUCGGAACAACCCAGGGAAACUUUGGCUAAUACCGGAUACGCCCGUCAGAGGAAAGAUUCAUCGCUGAAAGAUCGGCCCGCGUCUGAUUAGCUAGUUGGUGGGGUAAUGGCCCACCAAGGCGACGAUCAGUACCUGGUCUGAGAGGAUGAUCAGCCUCACUGGGACUGAGACACGGCCCAGACUCCUACGGGAGGCAGCAGUGGGGAAUAUUGGACAAUGGGCGCAAGCCUGAUCCAGCCAUGCCGCGUGGAUGAUGAAGGCCUUAGGGUUGUAAAGUCCUUUUAACGGGGAAGAUAAUGACGGUACCCGUAGAAUAAGCCCCGGCUAACUUCGUGCCAGCCGCCGCGGUAAUAC
rnacentral:rRNA from 1 species